AUUGAACGCUGGCGGCAGGCCUAACACAUGCAAGUCGAACGGAGCGGCGGACGGGUGAGUAAUGCCUAGGAAUCUGCCCGGUAGUGGGGGAUAACUUCCGGAAACGGGCGCUAAUACCGCAUACUAUCAGAUGAGCCUCGGUCGGAUUAGCUAGUUGGUGGGGUAAAGGCUUACCAAGGCGACGAUCCGUAGCUGGUCUGAGAGGAUGAUCGGUCACACUGGAACUGAGACACGGCCCAGACUCCUACGGGAGGCAGCAGUGGGGAAUAUUGGACAAUGGGCGAAAGCCUGAUGCAGCCAUGCCGCGUGUGUGAAGAAGGCCUUCGGGUUGUAAAGCACUUUAAGUUGGGAGGCGUUACCAACAGAAUAAGCACCGGCUAACUACGUGCCAGCAGCCGCGGUAAUUC
rnacentral:rRNA from 1 species